CCAACUGAGUGCCCCUCUUGCCGUCCCACCAUUUUCGUGGCUCGCCGGUGUUCUAACCUUGAAGCUCGGCCGCCUGGAAUCGACUUGGCGCGCGGAGUGUGGAGGCCCCGGUUGCGCGCGCCUAGGGAGCCUCAGCGGCGGCCAAUUUCUCAAUCCCCCGCUGGUGCCACCAUCCCGCGCGAAGAACGACACCCACCCUGACACGAAGCCGAAGAGCCUGUGACUGAGGAUCCUGGUGACCAACAGAUAGAAGUAGCUGAGCAGAAGCUCAUUGAAGGAGAAGAACAGGUGGUUCAGGAGGAGCCUCAAAGCGAGAAGUAUGAUCUGAUCUAGGUGGCGUUUCCCCAGUUGACUUUUGCGCCAAGGAUGAUUCUUAGUUCGUUUUAUAAUUUAUUUUUCAUGGACAUCCUCGCUCCAAGGAGUAGAAAGUAAACAGGGAUGUACAUGUCGAAGGUAGGGAGGAAGACUCCAAGGUGAACUACUCAGACGGAAGCGUACUCGACGAUAAGGCACCGGACGCUCGCAAGACUCAACCCCCUCAUGGUCUGAUCAAACAUGACAAAAUGGAGGCACACAUGGUAACAUAUCAGAAAGCACCACACUUCCAAGGGUGGAAAUGGUGUACUCCAUCAAAUCUUUAUGUAAUUAGUGACCACUCGUUCAAUUCCUCCGACUAUAUAAAGGGAUGAGGGUUGAGCUAUAGGAGUAGGGAAACUUAGUUGAUAACAUUGUUGUAAACUAUGGUGACGUCUAAGAGGGGGUGAAUUCGGACUUCUAAAAAUUUCGCUCUAAAUUAGGCCACAAAUAAAUCCCUAGAACAAAACAUAUUCAAAUAUGUAAACUAGAUUGUGCAAACUAGGUGUUGACUAAAUGUUGCUAUCUCUAUUGCAAAAGGAGUUUCGCAACAAGUUACAAUCAUUAAUAUUCUAACUACAAAUGAGAGAUUGAAACUU